rnacentral:lncRNA from 1 species
AUAAAGAAAUUUUAUUGCAUAAUUAUUGUAUACAAUAAACAUAGGAAAAGGGUUUUUAAUGAAAAUUCAUGUCAUUUUUCAAAAGUUUUGAACUGUCUGGAGAAAAAUUAUUACAAAGCUAUCUAAGGCAAAAAUAAUAUUUAACCUUCAAAACAAAAGAUAAUCCCUGUUACCAUUUUUUUUUUUAUUUAAAGCAAGACUUUUAAACACAAUUAAUACGGAGAAGUUUUCAAAUUGCUACGUCAUUUGCAUUAAGAAUUUAAAUGCAUCUAAGAAGUGAAGAGUAUAAACACAUGGGAAUGUUCUCUAAUACAACAGAUAUUGCUUUCUUCAGAUCCAUUCUGUUUGAACGUAGGGCUGUACUUUUUGCAUUUUCUAAUGGUACAGUAAGAGCUGGAGUGCAGAGAGGGAAAGUCCCAUGCACUUCCUAUGUUAAAUGGCAUAACUCCCACAGAUCACAUACACCUCGCCAUAUUGACUCAGUUCAUUGCACUCCAUAUCCUGCAAAAAUAAAUCUAGUGCUCGACAGCUGACAUUAUUGCUCACUGACGUUUUAGUAAUAUAUUUCUUUCACGUAAGACAGAAAUAUACUGAAAUUUGAUACCACUUAAACCCAAAAGCAAUCUGGAAUUAAACCACAUGCAUACAUCCCACUUUUUUUCAAUAGAUGUUGCGUUUUUCUUAAAGUUGAUCCUGGAAAAUGUGGUAAAAGAAAAACUGGCUUUCCUUGAAACAAAGACUAAGGAUUAGAAAAAGAAGGGCUUUUUUUGAGUGAAAUGUUAAGCCCUGCAACAUAAAUGAAGGAACAAUGACAAUCCAGUCUCUGUGGAGAGGCAAGAGGCCUCUGAUUGAUCCUCCUUGUCUCCCUCAACACUGUGGCCCACAUCCCACGGACCCCAGGGGAGGCUAUCCCACAGAGCUGGAGCAGCCCAGAGGUGCUGUGUGUGCCUCCGAAGGAUGGGCUGCAGGCUGUGGCAAAGCCCGAAGAGACCUAUUUCUUUGGCCGCCCCAACAUGGAAUCCUGGGGUCACUGGGAAAUACUAGGGCUUUCUCUGUGAGGUUGGGAAAGACUUCCAGGAUGGUCUGGACACUGAUGGCUGAGGUCUGGUCUUAAAUUUUACACCUC